rnacentral:other from 1 species
GACAGGCUGCGCUAUGCGUGAUACAACAUUUAUCCCGGAGGCCGAUGCGUUCUCGUAAGGGAGCUGUCCCUGUUUAGGUUUGCGGACUUAGACAUCACGGCGCCCACCUAGUUUAACUGGGCCACACGAGGAUACUUAAGUACAUGGUAGGGGCGGCUUGUCU